rnacentral:rRNA from 1 species
AUGACACUGCGACAAACCCUCCUCCUCCUACUUGUCUUCCAUGCCUCGCUCGCCACGACCGCCGAGUUUGGCGAGCCGUUUCCGCCCCCAGCCCCGGCGUCGCCUGAGCCAAAAAACUGUCCUGCCAAGUGCGGGGAAAUAGACAUCCCCUACCCAUUCGGCGUCGGCGCUGGAUGCUCCCUGUCGGGCCGCUUCGUCCUCACCUGCAACGAGAUGACGAGUCCUCCAACCCUGCUCACCGGCACAGUCAAGGUCGCCAGCAUCACGCUGGAGACGGCGCAGAUGGUGGUCAACACCUACCUGACCUAUAGCUGCGAUGUGCCGACCAGCAACACUACGAUCAACCACACGAGCACCGAUAUGGCCCUUAACGUCGUCACCCCGUUCCUGCUCUCGCCAUCCGAGAACGUGUUCACGGCCGUCGGGUGCAGCUCGACGGCGAGGAUCAAGGGCCGCGGCGCGAGCCCCUACCUCACUGGCUGCAUCACGACCUGUGCCAGGGUGAACGACACCGGUGACGACGGCACACCCUGCAGCGGGCACGGCUGCUGCCAGGCCUCGCUGACUCCUAACCUCACCCAAGUCAGCGUGGAGUGGGAGAACAGGGGAGGCAGAAGUCCUGUGGCUGAAAACCUGUGCCAGUAUGCUUUCGUCGCUACCAAAGGCUGGUACAGUUUCAGAAAAAAUGACCUGAUUGGGAAUAUGACAUUCGCCAAUAGACUUGGAAGCGGCCCUGUUGUUCCAGUUGUUCUUGACUGGGCAGUUAGGGAUGGAACAUGCCCCCCGACUCUGGAGGGUAACGGCAAGGAAAUUGUUCCUAACGGUGCCGCCUGUGUUAGCAGUGAAAGCUAUUGUGUAAAUGCAAGUCAUGGAGCACCGGGCUAUUUCUGCAAUUGCUCCAAGGGAUACACCGGUAAUCCAUACAAAAAAAAUGGGUGCACAAAUAUUGAUGAGUGCGCAUUACGACGAUCACCAAAUUCCACAAUGUACAAGAAUAUCUAUCCUUGCCGUGGAGGGACAUGCCACGAUACCGAAGGUGAUUAUGAGUGUAAGUGUAAUUUCGGACGAAGAGGAGACGGCAAGAGUGACAAAGGUUGUGAACCCGUAUUGUCCAGACCUGCAGUUGCAGUGAUAGGAACAAUUGGUGCAAUCGCAUUACUGUUCGUGCUAGUAAUAUUUUUGCACAUGGAGCGAGAGAACAGGAAGCUGAGGGACCGAUUCAACAGGAACGGCGGGUCGUUCCUCAAGAGCGCCGGGAUCGAGAUCUUUACCAAGGACAAGCUGGGUCGCAUCACAAACAAGUACAGCUGCAUCAUUGGCAAAGGUGCCUUCGGUAAGGUCUACAAGGGGACCACCGACACCGGCGUUGUUGUUGCUGUGAAGCGCUCCAUCAUCGUCAACGAGGACCGGCAGAAGGAUUUCGCGAAUGAGAUCACGGUCCAAUCCAAGAUCAGCCACCCAAACCUGGUCCGGCUCGUGGGUUGCUGCCUGGAGACGGAGGUGCCCAUGUUGGUCUAUGAGUUCGUCCCCAGAGGGAGCCUUCAGGACGUGCUUCACGGAAACAACCACCCUCUCCCACUGGAAACACGCCUCGACAUUGCUAUCAGCUCCUCUGAGGGGCUCGAUUACAUGCACUCGCAGAGCCAGAUGGUCCUCCACGGUGAUGUCAAAUCUGGCAACAUCCUCAUCGACGACAGCUUCACGCCCAAGGUGUCGGACUUUGGGACGUCCAGGCUCAUGUGCAUCGACAAGGACCACACCAACUGGGUGGUCGGGAACAGCAGCUACAUUGACCCCGUGUACAUGAAGACCGGGCUGCUCACCGCUAAGAGCGACGUGUACAGCUUUGGUAUCGUGCUACUGGAGCUCGUUACCCGAAAGAAGGCUAGGUACGGGGAGAAUCGUAGCCUUCCGAUGGACUACGUCAAGGCUUCCAAGGAUGGCACGGCAAGGCAGCUGUUUGAUGAGGAGGUUUCAUCCAAUGUUGAGGAGAACAUGGAGUGCCUCGAGGACGUUGGCAAGAUUGCAGUGCAAUGUCUCGAGGAAGACGUGAAUAACAGGCCUACCAUGGGAGAAGUCAGGAAGGAACUUGAAAAGUGUAAGACACAAUGGUUGCGAAGCCAGGGGAGGGCAAAUGAGGUAAUCCCCUAG